rnacentral:misc_RNA from 1 species
GAUGAAGAACGCAGCGAAAUGCGAUAAGUAGUGUGAAUUGCAGAAUUCAGUGAAUCAUCGAAUCUUUGAACGCACAUUGCGCCCUUUGGUAUUCCUUAGGGCAUGCCUGUUCGAGCGUCAUUUAAACCUUCAAGCUAAGCUUGGUGUUGGGUGACUGUCCGCUUCACGGCGGGCUCGCCUCAAAAUUAUUGGCGGCCGGUACAUUGGCUUCGAGCGCAGCAGAAACGCGAACUCGGGCCCGUCGUAUUGGCUCCCAGAAGCUAUCUUCACAAUUUUGACCUCGGAUCAGGUAGGGAUACCCGCUGAACUUAAGCAUAUCAAUAAGCGGAGGA